GGUUGGAGUUGACCGGUACUAAUAAGCCGAGGGCUUGACCACACAUGUUUCGCGUCCACUGUGCAGCUCUGAAACCACAACCACCAGCAUCACUGGUUGAUUUGUGAAGAGUGCGCUGACAACACACAGCAACACGAGUUUCCCCCUAGCCCUGCUGUGGGUGUGUGGGGGGUGUGUUUCGGUGGUCAUAGCGUGAGGGAAACGCCCGGAUCCUUUCCGAACCCGGAAGCUAAGCCUUACUGCGCCGAUGGUACUGCAUGCGGGAGCGUGUGGGAGAGUAGGACACCGCCGAAC
rnacentral:rRNA from 1 species